UCUUCGUGGAGUUUUGGGAAGACUGAGGCAAUCGCUGCUAAAGUCAGUGUUGUAAUGGUGAAUCAGAAUUUUUAAAUGAAGUGGGUUUGAAUACUCUUGACUGUUUUGUGAAAUCGAGUUACGUCUGUGAUUGAAGGAUUAAAAAAGUGUCUAUAGGAUUGAGUAUGCGGAGUGAAUGAAAUUUAUUGGGUUAAUCUAACAAGACAGUCAGUGGAUACAAGAUCGUAAGUACAAAGCAGUAUUGAAGGUUAACAGUUUGGGUUGU
rnacentral:lncRNA from 1 species